ACGGCUCGGCCACUGCAGAUGCUCUCUGAUCUGGAUCCGGGGAGGAUGCGCGUGCCGCUGCUGCCGCUUCACUUGCAGGCACGCGCCUUGAAUCGUCGAUGAAGCACGAGAGCAAACCGAGAGCAGCCGACAGCUGAAGAUAGGUUGACCAAUAAACCACAUUGAAGAAGAGGAAAGAGAAGGGGAAGAGAGCUCUUGCAUAGAGGUCGACGCGCUUAGCAGCAGCAGCAAGCAAACCCCACUGCUAUCCAUAGGAACCAGCUAACCAGGACAGCGAGCAGCCGAAACAACCUACUCUCCACUCCACACGACUGUUAGACGACAGCAGGUCUAGACAAGCACCUCAAGCUACAUCUUUACGACUGGACAUGGCCAUUAUAUCAGAGGCCAGAAGGUUUUAUUAGUAAUAAAACUGAAAUAUUCCCUGGGAAGAUUGUAAAGAAUGUCAAAAACAUAAAUACUGAGGACAAAAAUGUGAUUGAUUUAUUUUUCAGUUUUAAUGUGACCUAUUAUGCUUCCUUGAACAGGUUAGGAAAGGUGUAUGGGUUAUACAAAACACAUUCAUAAAAUUUUUUGCACUAAUUCAUUUUUAGAUAAUGAGAUUUUAAUCUGUUCAGUUUGGAUGUCCUUUGAGAAUGAGCUGUUUUAGGGCGUCUUGUCACUUUAAAUUCAAAUGAGUCCCUCUGGGGAUUGCUGGGGGUUACUAGGUAACGAGCUGAGCUCCUUGGGGGUUGCUAGGUAACGGACAGUGCCUGCUGAUUUGUGUCGUUACAUUCCGGAGGUUUUUGAAAUGGCCCAUUUUCCAGACACCAAAAAACAUGAACUUACUGCCAAAACUUGUUGGGAGUGUUUUUUUAAGCACUUGGGCUAUUUUUAGAACCAUUAGAAAUCCAAGUACAAGUAUAAAAAUGUGCAAAAUGUGAAUUUUGCAUAACAUAUCUCCUUUAAUUUGUGCCGUCCACUAACAGAUGAUAUGUGGUUAUCAGUGGAACUCAUUACAUCCAUCAUAAUGUUAUACCUGAUUGGUGUGAAUUCUGCUUUGUUCUGACAAAAUGAUUUUGUGAUUUACGAUUUGUUUAUUUCAACUUCAUACGACUUGUGAGUUGGAAGAUAAAUUUAACAUCAAUAAGUAUUACAGGUCUGAAAAUGGGUGAAUGAAGCCAAAACCAACAUAGUGUAUAUGUGUGCUUGUGCUCACCAAGUGGUA